GCCAGUGUAGCUUAAUGAAAGCAUGACGCUGAAGAUGUUAAGAUGAUUUUGCAAAGAUUUCCGCCGGCA
rnacentral:tRNA from 1 species